GCUUGCUCUGUGGAUCAGUGGCGAACGGGUGAGUAACACGUGAGCAAUCUGCCCCUGACUCUGGGAUAAGCGCUGGAAACGGCGUCUAAUACCGGAUACGAGCUGCGACCGCAUGGUCAGUAGCUGGAAAGAAUUUCGGUCAGGGAUGAGCUCGCGGCCUAUCAGCUUGUUGGUGAGGUAAUGGCUCACCAAGGCGUCGACGGGUAGCCGGCCUGAGAGGGUGACCGGCCACACUGGGACUGAGACACGGCCCAGACUCCUACGGGAGGCAGCAGUGGGGAAUAUUGCACAAUGGGCGAAAGCCUGAUGCAGCAACGCCGCGUGAGGGAUGACGGCCUUCGGGUUGUAAACCUCUUUUAGCAGGGAAGAAGCGAAAGUGACGGUACCUGCAGAAAAAGCGCCGGCUAACUACGUGCCAGCAGCCGCGGUAAUACGUAGGGCGCAAGCGUUAUCCGGAAUUAUUGGGCGUAAAGAGCUCGUAGGCGGUCUGUCGCGUCUGCUGUGAAAACCCGAGGCUCAACCUCGGGCCUGCAGUGGGUACGGGCAGACUAGAGUGCGGUAGGGGAGAUUGGAAUUCCUGGUGUAGCGGUGGAAUGCGCAGAUAUCAGGAGGAACACCGAUGGCGAAGGCAGAUCUCUGGGCCGUAACUGACGCUGAGGAGCGAAAGGGUGGGGAGCAAACAGGCUUAGAUACCCUGGUAGUCCACCCCGUAAACGUUGGGAACUAGUUGUGGGGUCCAUUCCACGGAUUCCGUGACGCAGCUAACGCAUUAAGUUCCCCGCCUGGGGAGUACGGCCGCAAGGCUAAACCUCAAAGGAAUUGACGGGGACCCGCACAAGCGGCGGAGCAUGCGGAUUAAUUCGAUGCAACGCGAAGAACCUUACCAAGGCUUGACAUAUAGAGGAAACGUCUGGAAACAGUCGCCCCGCAAGGUCUCUAUACAGGUGGUGCAUGGUUGUCGUCAGCUCGUGUCGUGAGAUGUUGGGUUAAGUCCCGCAACGAGCGCAACCCUCGUUCUAUGUUGCCAGCACGUAAUGGUGGGAACUCAUGGGAUACUGCCGGGGUCAACUCGGAGGAAGGUGGGGAUGACGUCAAAUCAUCAUGCCCCUUAUGUCUUGGGCUUCACGCAUGCUACAAUGGCCGGUACAAAGGGCUGCAAUACCGUGAGGUGGAGCGAAUCCCAAAAAGCCGGUCCCAGUUCGGAUUGAGGUCUGCAACUCGACCUCAUGAAGUCGGAGUCGCUAGUAAUCGCAGAUCAGCAACGCUGCGGUGAAUACGUUCCCGGGUCUUGUACACACCGCCCGUCAAGUCAUGAAAGUCGGUAACACCUGAAGCC
rnacentral:rRNA from 1 species